GUGUCGGACUCGGACUAGCAAUGGCUGUAACUAUUACACGUUUCAUAGCCAUGUGUCAAGCUCAAAUCCUUCAAAUAUCAACAGAACACCCUGUCAUUAUUGCUUGUUUCUUUGGCAUUCUUAAAUUGGAUACCUUUUUCUCAAGCAACAGAUUUUAUGUUUUUAAUUGGGUAUCGAUUUCACAAGCUCCAGAAUUUUCCUUUUCACAGGUGCAUUCCCUGCUUACAGUUCAGAGACUCAGACGGAUUUCCCCUUUCCCUUCCCCUUCCCUUGUUAAUUUGGGAUAAAGCAAGCACAUCCAUUUCACAUCUAAUAAUUGCAGUCAGACCUAUUUCCCGUAUAACAAGCGCAAGAUUACCCCUUUCAUUUCUGUUUUCAUAUCAAAAUCUGAAUGCAUUCAUGAGGAUAAGAAUGACAGAUAAGCAGCAAGUCGUUGAAUGGGUUUCUUUGUGAGUUGAUUAUAAUGGCAGGGAAUAAGAGGAGGAAAUUGAAAUUUAGUUUGUUUCCAUUAUUCCCUAGAUUUCAAGCUGGCAGAUUAAAAUCUAGAGCAGACACUUCCAAGCUAAAGAACAAAGAGGUCUUGAGGGAUGAAGGAGAACCCAGUUGCAGUCAGACCAGGAAAAAGAGAAAACUAUGGCGAAUAAGAAUUGAAGGCCUGCUCCGAAACUCUCUGGAUACUUCUGUGGGUGUGUGCUAAAAAGAACAGAACUUAAAUCCUCUGAUUCAGAUCCUGAAAAUUUUACUCUUGAAAAUGUAAGAAAUUUGCUUGAGAACAAUGAUUUCUAUACGAAUUCGAGUACCCAUAGGAGAAUUCAAGAGAAACGAAUUGAUCUUAAUAGACAGUAUAUAUGAAUUAUUUUUUGAGAACAUGUGUAUGCAUAAUAGCAGGAAGCAAAUAGCUUUCUAAUAAGUGCAGCAAUGUGAUGGUUCAUAUGGGGAAGAAAAAGGAGGUUGAUGUUGAUAAUUUAUUCAGCAAUAGGCAUUUGCCCUAAGUCUAUGUGAAUCCAAGAUUCUUCAAGAAGCAUACCGGAACUAGCCUAUGUUUCUUGUAAAAACAGCUCUGUAUUUGAGAUUGGAACUAGCUAUUAGCUAUUGAGCAUUUUAGCCUUCCAUUUGAUGUCUGUUCCCAUAAGUUUCAGAUAGAUUCAGAUCAUUACCUUCCAUAAGAAGAGCAUAAAUGUAGACUUUAUUUUGCAGAUCCUGAGUCCGAGGAUCAUUUCAUUUUCAGAUGCCUCGUCUACUAUGACAUCCAAGGGAGACACUUUAAUGUUCUGGCAUUGUUAUCUGUGAGAUGGUCUAAUUUGGACUAUUGCCAGUUUCAGACUGUGGAGUGCUUGAAGCCACAGAAGCCUUAAGUUGUAACUAAGAAACAGGUACGGGAUCAGUCAGACAGUUCUUUUCAGCUGAACCAUACACAAGUAUAUAUAAAUCCCAUCAUCAAUUUCUUCUCAAGUUCAAAUGUCAAAGGAGAGUGAUGACAUAACAUAACUUUGGGAAAUAAGGCAUUGCCCUUGCUUCUUUAUGCUUUAGUUUCUUUAGCUUUUUUGGCAUCCUUGUUUUUGUUUUUAUAAUAAUGACAGUUUGCUGAGAUGCACUGAGCACUCACAUUGUUUUGCCUUUCAUCUUUGUACUUCUCUUUCAGUCCCACUCUCCAUUCAUGGCCACUUUUGUAUUUACAAAGCAUAGUGUAAUUCAUUUCAAACAAUCCCAUUGUCAAAGUGAGGAAGUGUGUACGUAUUAUUCCGUGUCCUAGCAUAAUGCAUAUCUGACAAUGGGUUUCUAUUCAAGCAAGAAUUUUUAGCGACAGUGCUGAAGUUUAUAUCCUAUUUUGUGUGAUGGCACUUAGGGUUUGUCAUUGAGUCAAAGCAAGGAUUUUGCAUCCAAGUUCUGAAUAUUUCGGUGAUUUGCAGAGUCAGAGGAGGAUGGAAUUGAUUUCAAUUCUAUGAGAGGUUCCUUGUAGGCCCUGUAAAAAAGCUGAGCUUUAUGCAAUGAGCUCUCAUUUGAGACAGCUAUUUUAUUACUA